UACGAGGGGGGCGAGCGUUGUUCGGAAUUAUUGGGCGUAAAGGGUGCGUAGGCGGUUCCGCAAGUCCUGUGUGAAAUCUUCGGGCUCAACUCGAAGUCUGCACGGGAAACUGCGGGGCUUGAGUGUGGGAGAGGUGAGUGGAAUUCCCGGUGUAGCGGUGAAAAUGCGUAGAUAUCGGGAGGAACACCUGUGGCGAAAAGCGGCUCACUGGACCAUAACUGACGCUGAUGCACGAAAAGCUGGGGGGAGCAAAACAGG
rnacentral:rRNA from 1 species